UCUAAGAUGGCGAGGAUAUUGAUGACACGUAGAAUUUUCUCGCGAUUGAAUGUAAAAUUUGUGAUGUUUUUAAAAAUGUUCCGUGUAUGACUGUGUGUAUAUGUGUGUUUGUGCUGUGAGCUGAUUGCUGCAUAUGAACUGAUAUUUAACCGAUAGCAACAUAAAAUAUCAGCGAUCCAUCUCGGUGCGCGCGCAUAAUUAGACUGAGUUAUCGGCGCCAGAUUCGGGGACAAUGGCUGUAUAAAUAUUCUCGUCGGGAGCGGUCCACGUACGUGGGCAGAUGCGUCUUGCGGAUACAGGGUGGUCCUGACUAAAUGCAACGUGGAUCAGAACAAGGCCGACUCGUAACGAGCGCGUCGCGAAGCGCCUGUUACGGCCACGCUUGAUGCACGACGAUCUGUCGCGUUUUUGACGCGAGUCGUUACUUGCCACUUCUCAGGCCAUCGCCGAAUUCCCUCGCGUUUCGUGUACGCGUUGCGAUUCCACGAACUUUCGUCGAUCCUUGUCAUCUAGCAAUUCUUCUAACCAGCGAAAUAAUAGUGUCUCACGUGUCUUCAAUAAAUCCAAGAUAUUAACGGAUCAAAGACCUGUGGUAUUCUUGUAAGUAGUCCCGCAAAGUAUUACUCUGUUUAUUAGAGUCCUGAGAAGAACUUAAAAACUUGAAAUAGGUUGAAAAAGAUCUGCUGAGAAAACAAUCGUUUACUAAGUGUUAAAAGUUAUGUAAAAAUCUAAUUCCAUUCUCGCAACGAGAACCACCAACGAGAUAGUGAACUGAUCGACACGUGGAAGAAAAAAAAGCUGCAACCAUUAAUAAACGUGCAACACGACAUCGUAGGUGGAAUGGUAACUCAUGCUGGGACCGGAAGAGGAACGCGGUUAUAAAAUAAAUGUAACGAGUCCUGUUCGAUAGUAAAAGGCUAAUGAGAAUAGCACCUUUGACGAACACCUUCUGGAUUCUAACCAGUGAAUGUGCAGUACGAGCAUGCGGGUGUGAGGCCUUCCUCCCCUUGACUCGGUGUCAAUUUCAAUUGUCCGUUGAAGAGAUUGAUACGGGCGAUUUUGGCUGGCUGAUAGCAGUGUCAUUCAACGACAGGAGCACGUCUCCCAUAAAUGCAGAAAACGUCGUUUCUGUUCCGGAGGACUCGAGAGAAGUUUAUGGGCACGUUUUUGGUGGCCGCUUUCGGGGAACGAUGAUUUGGGUAAUUCUCGUUGGACGGAAGAUUUCGGGGCCCGAUUAAGCGGAACGACUGAUGAAGAGACUUGGAAAUCCAGCUCUCCGGCUGAAAGAUUCAGGAGACUAAAUCCAGAAGAUGGUAAGAAAAGAGAAAAAUCAGGUCCAAAAGUCAGAAUAACUGUUCAAGAAACGUGAUUCUGCUUCAAAACAAGAGCUUCAUUUCGACAAAAAGAUACACUGCAACAACAACGGCUUGAAAACAAGAGUUUCCUUCAAGCAAAGAAUACAGAACCUUAUUAGGAAAUGGACCAAAUGCGCUUCGGAACUUCGGGGAGAUUAUGCAAGAAACUGACCCACAUUUCAAUCGCGAAAUUAAUAAAUACAAAGAUACAUAGAAUAUAUUAAAAUAUGAAAAAUAUUCAAAGCAGCAAUAUGAAUCUUUACUUAGGUGCCAUUUCUUUGAAAUUGUGUUUAUAUCUAUAAAGAUACAAUCUGUGAUACUCAUUCCAUCUUACGAUACUUUCUAUGAAACAAGGAACAGAAGAUCAAAAUUCGAAUGACAGGCUGAGUUUCCAAGGAAGUACAUUCGAUUAACCGCAAAAAUCACGACCAAUGAUGGCGAGUGUCAACGUAAGGGAGAUAAUGCCCAGAUACGUAUCGAGCAAGCGCUGCACGUAAUGACGAGCACGAAUGCACGUAACAUGGAUGCGCGCGAUACAACUCGGCCCGGAUAUCGUAGUGGGCGCACAUGUGCAUCGGUGAUGUUUCGAGCUAGAACGAUUUCGGAGCGUCGAAUUACGCGGCACCGGGUGCACGUGCAGUAGGCGCCUAUUGCACAAAUCACACGCAUUAUUGACUACCUUUGUAUUUCUCCGGCCGACGCGCCAUUGUCCGUGUCACGUGCGUUUCCUUCUCUAAGUACCUACUAGCACAAAUAAACCGAGAAAAUUUGCUUUAUGUACUUAAAAUCAUCUGCAAUUUCAAUUAACGUUUUAGACAGUUCUCUUCGAUGGAAUAUAAAUCCACUUACAUAUUGAACCAUCUAAACGGAAAUUAGCAUAAUGAUAGUAACUAAAAUCUCACAAAAGUAUUCGAGAUCUGUGUGUUAGAUUAAUGAACAUAGACUAUUGAAAUUAUUUCAGAAUACAAUUAAAGUACACAGCAGAAAUGUUGCAAGUUUCAAGGAAUUGGUGACCUUGCAAAGUGGCUCUCAAUGGAAAUGAACAUAUAUAGCAGAAGAUUCAGGGUGGUCAGUGAAAGUGGUCCAUGUCCCCAGUGGCCUCGAAAUCUCAACUAGAAACCUCGGUAUCCAAGACUGGCGCCAGACUUGUCUGCAUCUGUUUGGAAGAUGAAGUAUCUGGCUGGCUUUUCCUGCCUCCAAAUCCGUUGAGAAGUGUUCGACCUGCAAACCGGCUUCCGUUCGACCCUCCAAAGACGAACACUCGAAGGGUACUCGAUCCAUCGACAAACCUAUCGUCCGACUUGCAAGUCACACAGAGAGACAGACAGCCGGUCGUGUUUUCUUUCGAACGAGAUCCUCGGGAGAGGGAAGUUUAUUUACGCGUAUCAAGCCUCCUGCCGUCUUUACGAUCGUCCACGAUAUGCUUCGUGUUAACCGGAUCUCUGUUAAUGGUUCAACGUGUUUUCACAGAGCAAACGGAAGCCUGCUGCUGCUCUUUACCAUUUGACAUUUAGAAACUGGGAAUUAUUAGCGAUGUGCUAUCAUUGCAAACGAUCGACUGUGAAUAAAGUUGUAUCUUGAAGUCGUCUUAAGCUGAAACUUUAAGCAUUUCAUUUCACAUUUAGUUUAUUUGAUUAUCAAUGUGCGUUGUGAAAAUAUACGUACGAUACUAAAAUUUUAAAGAAUCACUGAUCAAAUUGAAA